UACGGGGGGGGCAAGCGUUGUUCGGAAUUACUGGGCGUAAAGGGCUCGUAGGCGGCCAACUAAGUCACACGUGAAAUCCCUCGGCUCAACCGGGGAACUGCGUGUGAGACUGGAUGGCUUGAGUUUGGGAGAGGAAUGCGGAAUUCCAGGUGUAGCGGUGAAAUGCGCAGAUAUCAGGAGGAACACCGGCGGCGAAGGCGGCACUCUGGGCCGGUACUGACGCUGAGGAGCGAAAGCGUGGGUAGCAAACAGG
rnacentral:rRNA from 1 species